rnacentral:rRNA from 1 species
AGCGAACGCUGGCGGCAGGCUUAACACAUGCAAGUCGAGCGGGCAUAGCAAUAUGUCAGCGGCAGACGGGUGAGUAAUGCGUGGGAACGUACCUUUUGGUUCGGAACAACACAGGGAAACUUGUGCUAAUAACGGAUAAGCCCUUACGGGGAAAGAUUUCUCGCCGAAAGAUCGGCCCGCGUCUUAUUAGCUAGUUGGUGAGGUAAUGCCUCACCAAGGCGACGAUCAGUAGCUGGUCUGAGAGGAUGAUUAGCGACAUUGGGACUGAGAUACGGCCCAAACGCCGACGUGAGGCAGCAGUGGAGAAUAUUGGACAAUGGGCGCAAGCAUGAACCAGCAAUGCCGCGGGAGUGAUGAAGGCACUAGGAUUGUAAAGCUCUUUUGUGCGGGAAGAUAAUGACGGUACCGCAAGAAUAAGCCCCGGCUAACUUCGUGCCAGCCGCCGCCGUAA